ensembl:lncRNA
GGGUGCUGGCAGACGUCACUCAGGCAGAAGCUUGGAGGCACACUUACCUGCCUCCACUAGUCCUUGGGCACCUCUGCCAUCUGUGUGAGCAGGGCCUGAGCUCCUGGACUGAGGACGGAGAGGAGAUGCUCAUUCACCCCAGCAGAACUUCAGACGAGUGACCUGGGGUGAGCAUCUCUCCCAGCACGACACCUGGGCCCACGUGAUGAGAUGCUCCUCAGCCUUUCCUCAAGCUCGGGAGGUGUGAGGGUGUGGCGUGUGGGAGAGAAAACACAGACCUGCUGCCAGUUCCAUUGGGCCAUAAAUUGUGUCUGUUUUGGACGAAGAUGAAAGAGCAGCUUUCCUGCUGGUGGUGGACAGAAUAAUGGCCCCCAUGAUGUCCGUGUGCUAAUCCCUGCAC